AUACGAAGGGUGCAAGCGUUAAUCGGAAUUACUGGGCGUAAAGCGCGCGUAGGUGGUUUUGUAAGUUGGAGGUGAAAGCCCCGGGCUCAACCUGGGAAUUGCCUCCAAAACUGCAUGACUAGAGUACGGUAGAGGGUAGUGGAAUUUCCUGUGUAGCGGUGAAAUGCGUAGAUAUAGGAAGGAACACCAGUGGCGAAGGCGACUACCUGGACUGAUACUAACACUGAGGUGCAAAAGCGUGGGGAGCAAACAGGAUUAGAUACCCUGCAGUCCACGCCGUAAACGAUGUCAACUAGCCGUUGGGAUCCUUGAGAUCUUAGUGGCGCAGCUAACGCAUUAAGUUGACCGCCUGGGGAGUACGGCCGCAAGGCUUAAACUCAAAGGAAUUGACGGGG
rnacentral:rRNA from 1 species